ACACAAUUCCCAAGAAUUGUACAUUCUAAAGACAGAUAAAAGUUUUCUAAACAAUAUUAUAAAAAUACUGGACAACACAGUUCUUGUUCAUAGUUAGUAGAGCAAUUCUUGAGAGUUAAUGAAAUUUGAGGGGCAAACCCCCAAUAUUAAUUGUUAAUGAUUUGAAAGAAAUAAAUACUUUUCCCAGUCACAUGUUGCAGGAAGUCCAUGAGGACUUUCUCUUAGCAGGACUGAAUCCUCUGCAGUGCCAAAGUCAUGGUAAUUUUAUUGUCUCUCAGGCAGCUUCUUUAGGUGCCCUGUGCUUCACUUCAAUCAAGAGCCUGCUCAGAAUUCUUCCCCAUGUUUUUCAGCCAACAUUUCCUCAUUCUAUUCACAGAGAGAUUAUUUUAGGUGAAAUGUGAUAAUUGCUGAACACUGUUCAGGAUGCUGAAUAUAGAAGGAAAGCACUGACAAUCACACUGUGAACAACUCUUCAGAGAACACUGAUGACCAAAAACUGGAGGAAUUGUGGGGAGAAAAAAGUUUUCCCUAUUUAAGCGAAAGCCACUGACAAGCCAGAAGAAUGUAUGUAGCAGAAA